rnacentral:rRNA from 1 species
UACGAAGGGUCCAAGCGUUAUCCGGAUUUAUUGGGUUUAAAGGGUGCGUAGGCGGCUUGUUAAGUCAGUGGUGAAAGCCUGUAGCUCAACUACAGAACUGCCAUUGAUACUGAUGAGCUUGAAUAUACUUGAGGUUGGCGGAAUGUGUCAUGUAGCGGUGAAAUGCUUAGAUAUGACACAGAACACCGAUUGCGAAGGCAGCUAGCUAAAGUAUAAUUGACGCUGAUGCACGAAAGCGUGGGGAGCAAACAGG